GAUGAACGCUGGCGGCGUGCCUAAUACAUGCAAGUCGAGCGAACGGACGAGAAGCUUGCUUUUCUGAUGUUAGCGGCGGACGGGUGAGUAACACGUGGAUAACCUACCUAUAAGACUGGGAUAACUUCGGGAAACCGGAGCUAAUACCGGAUAAUAUUUUGAACCGCAUGGAUCAAAAGUGAAAGACGGUCUUGCUGUCACUUAUAGAUGGAUCCGCGGUGCAUUACCUAGUUGGUAAGGUAACGGCUUACCAAGGCAACGAUGCAUAGCCGACCUGAGAGGGUGAUCGGCCACACUGGAACUGAGACACGGUCCAGACUCCUACGGGAGGCAGCAGUAGGGAAUCUUCCGCAAUGGUCGAAUGCCUGACGGAGCAACGCCGCGUGAGUGAUGAAGUUCUUCGGAUCGUAAAACUCUGUUAUUAGGGAAGAACAUAUGUGUAAGUAACUGUGCACAUCUUGACGGUACCUAAUCAGAAAGCCACGGCUAACUACGUG
rnacentral:rRNA from 1 species